UCUGGAUGAGGAAACACAACACGAUCACGCUCGUGAUUCUUUCUUCACUUUUUCCACGAGUGUAACAGAUGACAGUGCAAUGAAGCAUUCCUCCACAAGACCCACAGAAUUUAUCCAAGUGCGGUUUAGAGGCUAUUAUCUGUGUAGCUGCUGAUCGAGCUGUAGAAAGAGUCUUUGCACAUACAGAAAAGCAGCAAGACAGGCACACAUUUAAUCCACUGACAGUUUCCUGCCGCAAAUCCUUCCUGUCACACAUCAUGCAGAAAAAACAUCCCCAGAGACCAGGCGCUGCAUUUACACUGCAUGGAAAGCACCUCUCAUGGCAGUGGUAAAUCUUUCCUCCUGACCUAAAAACACAUCUACUUCCUAUUCACCCCUCACACCCUCCCACUCAUUUGACCUCAGACAACCGGGGCCCCUGUGUCACCGCCUAUUGAUUCCUUGGCAUUGAACUUGAAUCUCGGGGCCACAGAAACUACAAUCAAAGAGGCAUUGUCUCUGUCCAAGACAGAUUGCAGACCAAACAAUACUCGUUCACUUUCCCUCAUUUCUCCUUUCAUAGAAUGAACCACUUAUCCUCAGCUGUCAUGGACUUUUUGACUGUUCAGUUCAUGUGGAAUGCAUGCAUUUCCUGUCUAUAGAAGAUGUCUUAUUUACUCUGACGGAUCACCGGAUGAGAACAAUCUUCAUACACCCCUUGGUGUAACCUGAUCAGUGUUGGUGGCAGGAAGUCAUGUCCCUUGAAUCUACUUAGACUUUCUAACAUCUAUAUUAUAACACACCAACUAUGUGUAAUCCACAUCUUUUGUUUGUGCAUUUUACUUAAAUAGAGUAGAAAUCUUUGUCAGUGCAGUAUAACUGUGCAAAUGAUCGAAGUGAUUAAACUGUCAGCAACUCACUGACUGCAUCUAAUUGCAGUUACAGGCAAUGUCAUCAGCUCUUGUCGCAAAGUGACCAGCGCAAAUGCAUAAACUGCAUAUAAAAAGGACAUGGCAUAAUUGCAAACAUGAUUUUUCAGCAUAAUUACAGGAAAAAGUCUUAAUGAUUCCACUGGAACAACAUAAUGAAAAUAUACAGUUUACUUUACCUGGAGCUCUAUUAAAGCGAAUUAGAAAUACUUCCAUUGACUUCUGCUGGUGUAAACAUGAGGCAUAUGAGAUUCAUUACAAUGAAGGAAUUAAAUAAACAGUAGCCUGAAGAACACUGUGGAUGCAUGCUUCAUUAAAAAGCAAUGUUAUUGUAAGUGGCUAAUUAACUCGGGGCACCCUUUUGGUUAGCCUUUACUGUAAAUAUACAAAUUAAUGAGAAUAUGCUCCCUGAUUGGUGUGGGAGUAUGCCUACAAAUCUCUCAUUGCACAGUAUUUUUUUAGGCCUUGCACUUAAAGGACCCAGACAGUACUUGCACUGACUUACCUUCUCCUUCUGACUCUGAACUGAAUCUUUCAGACUCAAAUCUAUGCUCUUGUUACUUUGUUUUUGAAUGCAAAAGACAAGAAACAAACAGUACUAUAUCAUUUUUUGUUUCUUUUUUGUCAGCUCCUUUCUCACUCCCUUGACCUUUCACAUGUCCGCGGUACAGAAUGCAAUAUCAUAUUUAAAUGCAGAAACAGUGUGAA